rnacentral:rRNA from 1 species
GACGAACGCUGGCGGCGUGCUUAACACAUGCAAGUCGAACGGUGAAGCGCCUUCCUUUUUGGUGGGUGUGGAUGAGUGGCGAACGGGUGAGUAACACGUGAGUAACCUGCCCCCUUCUUCUGGAUAACCGCAUGAAAGUGUGGCUAAUACGGGAUAUUCUGGGUCUGUCGCAUGAUGGGUCUGGGAAAGAUAUUGUUUCGGUGGGGGAUGGGCUCGCGGCCUAUCAGCUUGUUGGUGGGGUGAUGGCCUACCAAGGCGGUGACGGGUAGCCGGCCGGAGAGGAUGAUCAGCCAGAGUGGGACUGAGAGAGGGGCCGGACUGGUACGGGAGGCAGCAGUGGGGAAUAUUGGACAGUGGGCGAGAGCCGGAGCCAGCAAUGCGGCGUGAGUGAUGAAGGCCUUAGGGUGGUAAAGCGCUUUUACCCGGGAUGAUAAUGACAGUACCGGGAGAAUAAGAGCGGGCUAACUCCGUG